rnacentral:rRNA from 1 species
UAAGCCGUUGAAGGUGAAUCGUAAGGUUUGCUGGAGGUAUCAGAAGUGCGAAUGCUGACAUGAGUAACGACAAAGGGGGUGAAAAACCUCCUCGCCGGAAGACCAAGGGUUCCUGUCCAACGUUAAUCGGGGCAGGGUGAGUCGACCCCUAAGGUGAGGCCGAAAGGCGUAAUCGAUGGGAAACGGGUUAAUAUUCCCGUACUUCUGACUAUUGCGAUGGGGGGACGGAGAAGGCUAGGUGGGCCAGGCGACGGUUGUCCUGGUUCAAGUGCGUAGGCUUGAGAGUUAGGUAAAUCCGGCUCUCUCUAAGGCUGAGACACGACGUCGAGCUGCUACGGCAGUGAAGUCAUUGAUGCCAUGCUUCCAGGAAAAGCCUCUAAGCUUCAGAUAGUCAGGAAUCGUACCCCAAACCGACACAGGUGGUCGGGUAGAGAAUACCAAGGCGCUUGAGAGAACUCGGGUGAAGGAACUAGGCAAAAUGGUACCGUAACUUCGGGAGAAGGUACGCUCUUGAUGGUGAAGUCCCUCGCGGAUGGAGCUGACGAGAGUCGCAGAUACCAGGUGGCUGCAACUGUUUAUUAAAAACACAGCACUGUGCAAAAUCGCAAGAUGACGUAUACGGUGUGACGCCUGCCCGGUGCCGGAAGGUUAAUUGAUGGGGUUAGCGCAAGCGAAGCUCUUGAUCGAAGCCCCGGUAAACGGCGGCCGUAACUAUAACGGUCCUAAGGUAGCGAAAUUCCUUGUCGGGUAAGUUCCGACCUGCACGAAUGGCGUAAUGAUGGCCACGCUGUCUCCACCCGAGACUCAGUGAAAUUGAAAUCGCUGUGAAGAUGCAGUGUACCCGCGGCUAGACGGAAAGACCCCGUGAACCUUUACUACAGCUUGGCACUGAACAUUGAACCUACAUGUGUAGGAUAGGUGGGAGGCUAUGAAGACGUGACGCCAGUUGCGUUGGAGCCGUCCUUGAAAUACCACCCUUGUAUGUUUGAUGUUCUAACUUAGCCCCAUUAUCUGGGGUGAGGACAGUGCCUGGUGGGUAGUUUGACUGGGGCGGUCUCCUCCCAAAGAGUAACGGAGGAGCACGAAGGUGGGCUAAUCACGGUUGGACAUCGUGAGGUUAGUGCAAUGGCAUAAGCCCGCUUAACUGCGAGAAUGACGGUUCGAGCAGGUGCGAAAGCAGGUCAUAGUGAUCCGGUGGUUCUGUAUGGAAGGGCCAUCGCUCAACGGAUAAAAGGUACUCCGGGGAUAACAGGCUGAUACCGCCCAAGAGUUCAUAUCGACGGCGGUGUUUGGCACCUCGAUGUCGGCUCAUCACAUCCUGGGGCUGAAGUCGGUCCCAAGGGUAUGGCUGUUCGCCAUUUAAAGUGGUACGCGAGCUGGGUUUAGAACGUCGUGAGACAGUUCGGUCCCUAUCUGCCGUGGGCGUUGGAAGAUUGAAGGGGGCUGCUCCUAGUACGAGAGGACCGGAGUGGACGAACCUCUGGUGUUCGGGUUGUGUCGCCAGACGCAUUGCCCGGUAGCUAAGUUCGGAAUUGAUAAGCGCUGAAAGCAUCUAAGCGCGAAGCGAGCCCUGAGAUGAGUCUUCCCUGAUACUUUAAGUAUCCUAAAGGGUUGUUCGAGACUAGAACGUUGAUAGGCAGGGUGUGUAAGCGUUGUGAGGCGUUGAGCUAACCUGUACUAAUUGCCCGUGAGGCUUAACCAU